rnacentral:rRNA from 1 species
UACGAAGGGGGCUAGCGUUGCUCGGAAUUACUGGGCGUAAAGGGAGCGUAGGCGGACAGCUAAGUCAGAGGUGAAAGCCCAGGGCUCAACCCUGGAAUUGCCUUUGAUACUGGUUGUCUUGAGUAUGGGAGAGGUGUGUGGAACUCCGAGUGUAGAGGUGAAAUUCGUAGAUAUUCGGAAGAACACCAGUGGCGAAGGCGACACACUGGCCCAUUACUGACGCUGAGGCUCGAAAGCGUGGGGAGCAAACAGG